rnacentral:rRNA from 1 species
UGGGGAAUAUUGCACAAUGGGGGAAACCCUGAUGCAGCGACGCCGCGUGAACGAAGAAGGUAUUCGUAUCGUAAAGUUCUGUCCUAUGGGAUGAUAAUGACAGUACCAUAGAAGAAAGCUCCGGCUAAAUACGUGCCAGCAGCCGCGGUAAUACGUAUGGAGCGAGCGUUGUCCGGAAUUAUUGGGCGUAAAGGGUACGCAGGCGGUUUAAUAAGUCGAAUGUUAAAGAUCGGGGCUCAACCCCGCAAAGCAUUGGAAACUGAUAAACUUGAGUAGUGGAGAGGAAAGUGGAAUUCCUAGUGUAGUGGUGAAAUACGUAGAUAUUAGGAGGAAUACCAGUAGCGAAGGCGACUUUCUGGACACAAACUGACGCUGAGGUACGAAAGCGUGGGGAGCAAACAGG